rnacentral:rRNA from 1 species
GUAGGGUGAACCUGCGGAAGGAUCAUUACCGAGUGCGGGCCCCUCGGGGCCCAACCUCCCACCCGUGUUGCCCGAACCUAUGUUGCCUCGGCGGGCCCCGCGCCCGCCGACGGCCCCCCUGAACGCUGUCUGAAGUUGCAGUCUGAGACCUAUAACGAAAUUAGUUAAAACUUUCAACAACGGAUCUCUUGGUUCCGGCAUCGAUGAAGAACGCAGCGAAAUGCGAUAACUAAUGUGAAUUGCAGAAUUCAGUGAAUCAUCGAGUCUUUGAACGCACAUUGCGCCCUCUGGUAUUCCGGAGGGCAUGCCUGUCCGAGCGUCAUUGCUGCCCUCAAGCCCGGCUUGUGUGUUGGGCCCCGUCCCCCCCGCCGGGGGGACGGGCCCGAAAGGCAGCGGCGGCACCGCGUCCGGUCCUCGAGCGUAUGGGGCUUCGUCACCCGCUCUAGUAGGCCCGGCCGGCGCCAGCCGACCCCCAACCUUUAAUUAUCUCAGGUUGACCUCGGAUCAGGUAGGGAUACCCGCUGAACUUAAGCAUAUCAAUAAGGCGGAGGA